AAGAUGAAGUCACAGACCCAGGUCUUCAUAUUCCUUCUCCUCUGGAUGACUGGUGCUGAGGGGAACAUUGUGAUGACCCAAACUCCUGAAUUCAUGUCCACAUCUGUAGGAGACAGGAUCACCCUAAGCUGCAAGUCCAGUCAGAAUGUGGAUAACUAUGUAGCUUGGUACCAACAGAAAUCAGGGCAGCCUCCUAAACUGCUAAUCUAUGAUGCAUCCACUCGAUACACUGGGGUCCCUGAUCGCUUCACAGGCAGUGGAUCUGGGGCAAAUUUCACUCUCGGCAUCAGCAGUGUGCAGGCUGAAGACCUGGCAGUUUAUUACUGUCAGCAGCGUAACAGCUAUCCUCCCACAGUGCUUCAGCCUCCAACUCAAACCUUGAGAGUUUCACCAGCUGCCUGCAACACACACAGCCCUGUACCUGCACACUUCCCCUUUUGCCUGAGAUCUGCUGUGCAUGAGUAA